rnacentral:pre_miRNA from 1 species
GCUGGCACCUUAGCCGCUUGAGCCACAGGUGCUGAGCUAAUUUUUCUAUUUUUUAUUUUAGAGAUGGGGUCUUGCUAUGUUGCCCAGGCU